GACGAACCGAGCGAACGUUGUUCGGAAUCACUGGGCUUAAAGGGCGCGUAGGCGGGCUGCCAAGUUUGGGGUGAAAUCCUCCGGCUCAACCGGGGAAGUGCCUUGAAUACUGGCGGUCUGGAGGGAGGUAGGGCGUGCGGAACUGUAGGUGGAGCGGUGAAAUGCGUUGAUAUCUACAGGAACUCCGGUGGCGAAGGCGGC
rnacentral:rRNA from 1 species